GACGAACGUUGGCGGCGUGCUUAACACAUGCCAGUCGAACGGAAAGGCCCUGCUUGCAGGGUACUCGAGUGGCGAACGGGUGAGUAACACGUGGGUGAUCUGCCCUGCACUUCGGGAUAAGCCUGGGAAACUGGGUCUAAUACCGGCUAGGAGCCAUUUUUAGUGGGAUGGUUGGAAAGUUUUUUCGGUGUAUGAUGAGCUCGCGGCCUAUCAGCUUGUUGGUGCGGUAAUGGCCUACCAAGGCGGCUACGGGUAGCCGGCCUGAGAGGGUGGACGGCGACAUUGGGACUGAGAUACGGCCCAGACUCCGACGGGAGGCAGCAGUGGGGAAUAUUGCACAAUGGGCGCAAGCCUGAUGCAGCGACGCCGCGUGGGGGAUGACGGCCUUCGGGUUGUAAACUCCUUUCGCUAGGGACGAAGCUUUUUGUGACGGUACCUAGAUAAGAAGCACCGGCUAACUACGUG
rnacentral:rRNA from 1 species